rnacentral:rRNA from 1 species
UACGGAGGAUGCAAGCGUUAUCCGGAAUGAUUGGGCGUAAAGCGUCCGCAGGUGGCUAUGUAAGUCUGCUGUUAAAGAGUGAGGCUCAACCUCAUAAGAGCAGUGGAAACUACAUGGCUAGAGUGCGCUCGGGGCAGAGGGAAUUCCUGGUGUAGCGGUGAAAUGCGUAGAUAUCAGGAAGAACACCGGUGGCGAAAGCGCUCUGCUAGGCCGCAACUGACACUGAGGGACGAAAGCUAGGGGAGCGAAUGGG